UCCCCGACCCCGCCCGCCCCCCUCCUCAGAUCCACGGAGCGCUCCCUCCCCACCCACGCCUCCUCAGAUCCUCCGCAGCAGGCCAGCGAGCGGCGACCCCCAGGCGCUCCAUGGCAGGUCCACGCACUGCACAGGGGCUACACGGAGGGCGGCGGCUCGACGCCGCUAGCGCGCAGCUCCGUCUUCGCGAGGCAUCCAGACCCCUGGUUGCAGUUCCCCUGAUGAUGAAGGCAUCCUUGUCGAUGGAACGGAUGAUGUGCAGGAGGAAGAUGGUAUUGCUGCUGUAAUCCCAUGAUUGUACUGCAUGAUCGGAAGUUCACUGUGAGUAUGCAGGUUCGAAAUAGCUCAGUAACUUGGAGUUAAUGAUGGCCCUUUUAAUAACAUCUGACUAUACAUGCAAAUGUAUCUACAUUUCUGUGAUAUCAGCACAUCAGCUUAGUUUAGUAUGAGGACUGAAUGGUCCCAGUAUGCCUCUUUUUUACAUGAGGUCGGUCUUCUUGUUCUGAAAAACAUCUGUAACUUAGCUUAAUUUGAGUUGGGAUUCUGGAAGUAUAAUAAUCACUUAGCUUCCUUUCUGAUGUGUUACUAUAAACAUGGAUGCUUAAUUUAAAAUGUGAGUCUAUCCUGAAAUGAAUGAAAGAUAACUCAGCUUCCAUCUAAGAUAACUGCAUCUGAAACUUGAAAACUGUAACUUUCUGGUAACUUCGAUGACAUUUGCAGCUGAUUGCAUUCAUCCAAUUUUACAAUGAUGACAUGUCUAUUCUUUUCUUUCAAUCAUAUUAUGAUAGAAACACCAAGGUCUUCAGGUAGGAAAAAAAUGAAUUUGGGCUAAGCAAAAAUUCAGCUAGUUGCUGCCUUGUUGGCUUCAUUUCCUAACGAAUGGCUAAUCACCUGAUUCAUCUGUAGAAUGUAGUUUCAUUUUAGAAAUUCUUCUUGAUAAUUGGGGUCGACGCUGAAAGAUAAUUGGGGUGAUGUGUUUCGGGGUCUAGGUUGGUUUUCUGAUCAUUGGAAUGUGGAUAUGUUGACUAUCUAAAAUUUCUAUGUUACCAUAAACUGAAUUUCUUGACAUAAAGGUUUUGAAUUGCCUCCUAAAUUCACAAAACUUAGAAAUGCAUAAUACAUCUUCGAAUAAAUUUUGACUUGCAACCAAAAACAAUUGUCCUGAUAACUUAUCACAGAAGGCUCUAUUUAAGUAGUAAAUAAAGAGGUUAAAGAAAUGUAGAGUCGAUUAUUUUUCAGGAAACCAAGCAGGUGCAUAAAUUUGUUCAUACUAAUUUGCUGGUUGUCUAUUCCCCAUUCACUAUAUCAAGUAGAUGUUCAAUCUUAGGUAGCUAUUCUUUGGACUUUGUUUGCUAAUUGCAGCAUGAAUUGUCUCUAGAUUAAUGGGCGCAUCGUGUUACAUAGUAGAGCACUUUUCUUUCGGCCUUUUCCUAUCUGAAUUUAGGGAUAGCAUUUAGUAGAUAUUUGCAUUGUUUCAUUGCAAAUUUGUGAGUUCACAUCACUUUGCCCAUAACUCUGAUUGGCAUUGCUCCUGCUGGUGUCUGGAAGUACAAAAUGUGACCCUCUUCUACAGACUCUUCGAUCUGAAUCAAACAACCUGUUUAUCCAUGUGGUUUUUUUCAGUUACACUCUUGGAUCAGGAUAACUACAUAGCUACAUGCAAAAGCCAUGUGAGUGAACCUCAAAUGCAAUCUAACAGACAACUUUAGCAGUCUCCGAUCAGGAAAACAGGGGCUGUCUAACUUAUGUUUGCUGUAUGCCUGAAAUCUUUUAGGAUUGGCUUGGCACAGACUUUGCAAUUGCCGAAGCUGUCAAUUUCGUAGUAGAAUCAGAGAGGCAGGGUUCAACAACACUUAGAAAAUGGAUGACCAACAAUGUGAGCUAGAAGAUCUGAAGUAGCAAGGGAGAAUCAAUGGGGAGAGAUUGGAAGUUUGAAGAAGCAAGGAGAGGAAAGCAAUGCUCUUCUUUGCUGCUUGUUAUGCCUCAACAGGGAGUAAGUCCUUGACUACUUCUAGGUUCAUGAUGUGGUCUAUUUAUUUUGCUACAUGUGCUUGGAUAGUUGUUUCGGCUCUACGGUGGCUGGUAUAUACUUUUUGGCUAUGAGUCCAUAGAGUUAUCUUGGCUGUUUAGUGAACCUGUUAUGGAAUGGAGUGACUUGUCUUUUUUGUAUUUGGGCUGUUUAUGGAGUGAAGUGAUGUUGGCUGAUUUAUGCAUGAAUCUGGUGGUUUUUGGACAAGUGAUGUUGGGUUGUAAUAAAUAUUUUAUGAAGUGACCUGCUGUUUGGUUUGAAAUAUAUGUUGUUCUGAA